AUGCCAGAACACGAGCUAUCUAUAGUGGGCAUACGGAAUGUUCGCAAACUGAUCGCUAUAACAGCGUGGUGGAAAAGACGUUCACUAGUCCAUCAGGGAAAGAUCGAAGAUGUAUACCAAAUUUCGAUGGGAGCCUGUGCUAUAAUGACAAACUAUGUUAAUGCCCAAUCCUCUAGGACAACAAAUAGAAUAGAAGGAUGGACGAGAACCCCUCUAGGUUUUGUGAAAUUAAAUGUCGAUGCCUCUUUCGAUCAAUACAUGCUUAGAGGCACAGUGGGAUCUGUACUUAGAGAUGACAAAGGAAGAUUCAUUGUUGGAGCUAAUUGGAGGAUGAAUUGGCGUGCAGAUGUUUUAACAACAGAAGCCAUGGCACUAUGA
rnacentral:rRNA from 1 species